UACAGAGGUCUCAAGCGUUGUUCGGAUUCAUUGGGCGUAAAGGGUGCGUAGGCGGCGCGGUAAGUCGGGUGUGAAAUCGUCGGAGCUUAACUCCGAAACUGCAUUCGAUACUGCCGUGCUUGGAGGGACUGGAGAGGAGACUGGAAAUUUACGGUGUAGCGGUGAAAUGCGUAGAUAUCGUAAGGAAGACCAGCUGGCGAAGGCGGGUCUCUGGACAGUUCCUGACGCUG
rnacentral:rRNA from 1 species